AAUAAAGCUGAGACGUAAAUUUACCUGACGCAUUGCCCUCCCAGAAAUAAAGAUAAAGGACAGUAAGACUUGCGAGGUAAAUUUACCUCUGGCGUCUUGACAGCCGGUUCACCACUACUACCCACGAUCUGUUCCGCACGCAGCCACAUCGGUUCCCUCCUGUGGAGGCCAACAGAUCAGGUCCCUCUAUCCUUGCAGCCAUGAACUGGCUCUGGCGGCUUUGCUGAAGGAGCAUCGGUCAUCUCGCCGGCGGGAUUCGGGCGGGACCCAAUUCAGCGUAAGCGGCGGCGCCAAGUGCGCAAGUCUGACCUCGACAUCCAUGAAUCAGUUUCGCCAGGGAAGCGAGCUCAGGGGCCCUGAUUGAAUGGAUCCCAAGAUCUCACCGGCCGCGGUUGAGUCAUCAUGGUCUAGGGAGAUACCAAUACCCAAUUCCAAAGAAAGUAUUUUUGUUGUAGGGAUCCAGGUGGGGCCUCACCAUACAAGUAUCUACUUACUGUGAUCAAUGAUGAUGAACUCCAUCAAAACAUACUAUUUUUCCUCUACAGAAUUCCCCUUUUGUCAAUCGACUUUAGUUGUAUAGCCUGAUUGACCUGUCAAACUCAUUGUAUUUUCCUUGCCGUUUUCUUGGGAAGGCAUGGGAGAAAGAUUUUGUUCUAGGAUAUAGCUUUGUACCGCAAUGCAUGAUGAGCAAAUCUAACUGCAAAUACACUUGUAUUGUUCAGAAAAGCUCUCUGGUUCUGUUACUCAGAGUCGUACAUGCAGAUAGUAGCUCCUCCAAACAUUAUUGUAAUGUUACUACUUAAUGUGGAUUCUGGAGGUGCGGCUAAAAUUUCCUACUAGAGGCCCAUGCGUGGCUACCUGGUUGCUCCAAUCUGCUGGCUCAACAUUUGCUUGUUGAGGGUGCUGGCUUUUAAUUUUUUUUGGGUUUGUCUUGUAAAACACUGGUCGUUUCUUUGAUGGAAUUCACCGAGGCGUGCUCAUUGUUUAUUUAAGGUGUGGAUUUAAAGUAGAUAUACCUCAUGUUGGAGUUGAAGUAAAUCCUUCACGUACUAAUUGUAGAGUUUCCUAUUAGUUUUGAGCUGCUUUUGUGCCACCACUGAUUUCCGCAUAAAAAUUAGGAAAUUAGGUGAUUAAUUUUUAGGUACAAAUUAUAUCACCAAAGGCAUUCCCAGGAUGAUUAGCUUUUGUAGUUGAGAAAUAGCUAACUCUCUCCCUUGCAAAAGAAAAUGAAGCAGUUAGCUCUCAUAUGAACGUGUGUUUAGAUCUUCUUGCUCUGUUAUGGAUUGAUCUAACUAGAAGCUUCAUAUAGUUGGCAGGCCAUUUGAUACGUCUCCAACGUAUCUAUAAUUUAUGAAGCAUUCAUGCUAUUAUAUUAUCCAUCUAGGAUGUUUUAUAUGCAUUUAUAUGCUAUUUUAUAUGAUUUUUGGGACUAACCUAUUAACCUAGAGCCCAGUGUCAG
rnacentral:rRNA from 1 species